rnacentral:rRNA from 1 species
CCGCAAGAUACCACGGGCGCACGGCGGAUGCCUUGGCACAGGGAGCCGAUGAAGGACGCGGCAAGCUGCGAUAAUCCCCGGCGAGGAGCACACAUCCUUCGACCCGGGGGUCUCCGAAUGGGCGAACCCAUGCACAGCAGUGUGCAUAUCCCCGGCCCGAACACAUAGGGCCGGGGAGGACAACCCGGGGAACUGAAACAUCUAAGUACCCGGAGGAGAGGAAAUCAAUCUCGAGACUCCCCGAGUAGCGGCGAGCGAAAGGGGACCGAUGGCCAAACCGUCGAGCGGGCAUACCCGGCAGGGGUUCCGCCGACGGGGUUGCAGGGCCGCGCAUCCGGGGGCUGCCGCCCCCGGGCGCAGGUCCGGCUGGGGAGCGGAACGGCAUGGGAGGGCCGGCCGCAGCGGGUGACAGCCCCGUACGCGAACCCAGACCGGACGGCGCGACGCGGUCCCUGAGUAGGGCCGGGCACGUGAAACCCGGUCCGAACCUGGGUGGACCACCAUCCAAGCCUGAGUACUACCCUGUGACCGAUAGCGCACCAGUACCGUGAGGGAAAGGUGAAAAGCACCCCGGGAGGGGAGUGAAACAGUACCUGAAACCGUGCGCCCACGAGCAGUCGGAGCA